rnacentral:rRNA from 1 species
UACGUAGGGGGCUAGCGUUGUCCGGAAUCAUUGGGCGUAAAGCGCGUGUAGGCGGUCCGGUAAGUCCGCUGUGAAAGUCGGGGGCUCAACCCUCGAAUGCCGGUGGAUACUGUCGGGCUAGAGUGCGGAAGAGGCGAGUGGAAUUCCUGGUGUAGCGGUGAAAUGACGCAGAUAUCAGGAGGAACACCAAUUGCGAAGGCAGCUCGCUGGGACGUAACUGACGCUGGAGGAGCGGAAAAGCAUGGGGAGCGAACAGG